rnacentral:tRNA from 1 species
UCCAAAGUAGCCAAGCUGGUAAGGCAGUUCACUGUUAAUGAACCUACGCAGAAGUUCGAAUCUUCUCUUUGGAGCCA